rnacentral:misc_RNA from 1 species
AACGGUCUAUACCUGCGGUACCUGCGAAGGAUCAUUAGUGAACGCCCUCACGGGCUUAUAACUAUUCCAAACCUCUGUGAACCGUGCCCUUCGGGGCUAUUUUACAAACAUGGUGUAAUGAACGUCAUAUAUCAUAACAAAACAAAACUUUCAACAAUGGAUCUCU